GUAGCACUCUGAAGCCCCAGGGCAGCCCUGUGAGGAUUAGCUGGAAUUAUCUCAUUUUGCCGGGGACCACAAUAUCCAGGACACGCCAUCUGCAGGCAGCAUCCAAUGAAGUAGAGUGCUAAGCACAUUCAAGAUUCUUCCUCCAUCCUGCAUCCAAACUGAAACGUUAAAGGUCACAAAUGUGCUGACAAGAAAAGUCAUGGGAUUCAUUAUAGCUUAAACAUUCAAAUACAGAAAAGAGGGAAACAAAAGAUUAGAUGAAGAGGAGCAUC